ensembl:lncRNA
GGCGGGUCUAGCAAAGUUAUGCCAGGGGGCCAGGUAGGGUAUUAACAGGGAAAGGGGGGCACAAAGAAAUACUUUUCUUACUUAUUCUCAUUUAAAAUAUCUCGCUUUUAUUAAAUAAUUAUCUGAAUCUUGCGAACAAAGUUUUUAUCUGACGUAAAAUUGAUAGAAAUCAUACAUAUACCAACAAGACCGUGUACAUCACUGUCACAACAGCGUUUGUUUUCAUUCAAAGGCUUUAUGGCUUUAAUACCUGGUGGGCGGGGGCCAGGUAGGGCAUUAACAGGGAAAGGGGGGCACAAAGAAAUACUUUUCUUACUUAUUCUCAUUUAAAAUAUCUCGCUUUUAUUAAAUAAUUAUCUGAAUCUUGCGAACAAAGUUUUUAUCUGAUACCGUGUACAUCACUGUCACAACAGCGUUUGUUUUCAUUCAAAGGCUUUAUGGCUUUAAUACCUGGUGGGCCGGUCUCUAGUCAAAAUGCCCAAUUUUUUGUCCCAGUCCAACCCUGCAGGUUAAUACUGGCAGUGUCACCAUGCCAG